rnacentral:rRNA from 1 species
GACGAACGCUGGCGGCGUGCUUAACACAUGCAAGUCGAACGGAAAGGCCCUGCUUUUGUGGGGUGCUCGAGUGGCGAACGGGUGAGUAACACGUGAGUAACCUGCCCUUGACUUUGGGAUAACUUCAGGAAACUGGGGCUAAUACCGGAUAGGAGCUCCUGCUGCAUGGUGGGGGUUGGAAAGUUUCGGCGGUUGGGGAUGGACUCGCGGCUUAUCAGCUUGUUGGUGGGGUAGUGGCUUACCAAGGCUUUGACGGGUAGCCGGCCUGAGAGGGUGACCGGCCACGUUGGGACUGAGGUACGGCCCAGACUCCUACGGGAGGCAGCAGUGGGGAAUAUUGCACAAUAGGCGGAAGCCUGAUGCAGCAACGCCGCGUGCGGGAUGACGGCCCUCGGGUUGUAAACCGCUUUCGCCUGUGACGAAGCGUGAGUGACGGUAAUGGGUAAAGAAGCACCGGCUAACUACGUG